rnacentral:rRNA from 1 species
UUUCGCAAUGCCCGAAAGGGUGACGAAGCGACGCCGCGUGCGGGAAGAAGGCCUUCGGGUUGUAAACCGCUGUCGGGAGUUAAGAAAUGCAAGGGUGUUAAUAGUAUCCUUGCUUGACUAAGGCUCCGGAGGAAGCCACGGCUAACUCUGUGCCAGCAGCCGCGGUAAUACAGAGGCGGCAAGCGUUGUUCGGAAUUAUUGGGCGUAAAGAGCACGUAGGCGGCUCUGCAAGUCAGCUGUGAAAGCCUUCUGCUUAACGGAAGAACGGCAGUUGAAACUACAGGGCUUGAGUGCGGGAGGGGAGAGUGGAACUCCUGGUGGAGCGGUGAAAUGCGUAGAUAUCAGAAGGAACGCCGGCGGCGAAAGCGGCUCUCUGGCCCAUAACUGACGCUGAGUGUGCGAAAGCUAGGGGAGCAAACGGGAUUAGAUACCCCGGUAGUCCUAGCCGUAAACGAUGGGCACUAAGUAGAGGGGUUUU